UGUGUGGUGUGGGGGGGGCAGAGGGAGAGAGAACAGAGGCUUCCGCUGGGUCCUAUGGAGAAAGGCAAGGGCUUGGCAGAGGGGAAGUCCUUCAGUCGUCUGUGAUACCCUUGGCUCUCAGCUCCUCUUGCACCCGGGUCAGGUAGGUGGGGUCCGGGUACCCAAACCUGGGAGCAAAGAGAGACGAAGGUCAGGAUUAGCCAUUCCAGCUGACUCAUCUUAGCCUCAUGCUCUCCCUCAUUCUGGGGGCCCAGUUCCAGCCGCUCCCCACUUCCCCUGAGCAUAGCCAAUCCUGAGAUAACUUAGCCCACUUCUGCUUAUUUCUGUAGGUUAAGCUGGGCAUAUUGGGCCAGGUGGAAUGUAGAGACGCUGGGAUGGAAGAGAUGGCUGGGAUAGUUUGGGGGUGGUCCUCUCUAGUUAGGAGGCUCUAGGAGAGAGGGGGUUGCUGUCAUUCCCUGGAGUGAAAAUAGAGAGAAGGGGAGGAGCCAAGGGAGGGAAAGGAAAUGAAGGAGGGUCGCACAGCUGGGGUCCUCCUGUGCAGCUGGUCUUGUGGUGAAUGUCGUUCCAGGUGAUGACAUUCGGUCUCCCUGUGGUCAUGGACGUGCCGAUAGUGAAGGUGAGACGCUGGUCAAAUGCCUUGCGGAACAGGGUCAGCACCUUGUUGCCCUCGGGGCAGUCCGGGAGGUAGGCCACCCGUGUGGUGCCAGGGUACCGAACUCCUGGGUUUGGGUGUUCAGCCUGGGACGAAGGGGAAGCAGAGAGGACAGUGAGCAGCUGGGCACGUGAAGGCCCGUGAUGCCAACCGAGGGUCAUCCUGGUCCACUGGCCGCCUAAUGCUGAUGGGGCAGCAACGGGCCGACAGCCUUUCAAGGAGGGAGAGACUUCCUUGAAAGGUUUGGACAGCAGGAGCCCAUUUUUGGACAAAAUCCUUACUACUAAGGAAGUUCCUUCUGCUGCCUCAAUCUCUCAAGUCUCAGUUCAGCAACAAAUGGAUUCUCAAAAGUGAUGGCAAGCCGCUCGCUCGUCCUCACCCACCAGAUAAGUCAGCAGAAAUGUGAAGACUGAGAAUAAUCUCUCUCUGUCUUCCCCUCUCCACCUGAAAACACUCCCAGCGCUUCUAAGCCUGCCUAGCCCGGGCCACUUUCCCAUUACUCUCCUUCAGAGCUUCCUCAGCCCUCUGCAAACCAGGCCUGGAAAUUACCCUUGCAUGGUCAAGCAGGAGACACCUAGAGGCUCUCGACCACUCCUGGUUUAACCUCCCACUGUCAACAAGAUUUUCCUCUCAGCAGUCUGGAACAAAGCAGCACUCACUGCUCUGUGAAGAGGGUCAGAUCCCUUCCCGCUAGGCCUGCCUGCACCUGAGCCACCUUCUCCACAGAAUUCACCUCUGCCAAGAAUAGCUGUCGUCAUCCAUCCAAGUUCACCGAGGCAAGAGCCUUUCUCUCCUACCUGAGUUUCAUAUGUGCCGUGGAGUCGUGGGCUAGAAAAGCUGGGCCUGAAGGUGGGGGGACCAGCUAGCUCCAGGGCACCGGGUGCGAAGGCAUGCUGGGAGGCGGCAAGACUACAUCACAUCUAACAAACACACUCCCCUUCACCCAGGUUUCCUAGGUCAGAGAACACGCUUGGGGAAAACCGAAGGGCACGGCAGGUCUUCUUACCCCCUGGACACCGGGCGGGAAGACGUACUGGAUGACAAUGGUGCCAUACUUCUCAUAGCUGGGCAGUAGGAGCGUGGCGUCCUUAGAGACCAGCAUGCGCCCAUUCUGGGGCUGGUUGCCCACCAGCUGCCCAUAGAAGCGGCCACACAUGGGACAAGCCUUUUUCACCUGCAGGGCCCGGGUGAUGCAGCCCUCACAGAACGAGUGCCGGCACUUCUCCAAGGUCUUGGCGUUCUGGAUCUCCCCCAGACAGAUGGGGCAGGUGCUCUCCUGCUCCUCAGCCUCCUCCCGAAGGCGGGGAGGAAGUGGAGGGGGGAGGGGAGGAGGAGGAGGGGGAAGCCCCCGAGCCCCUGGGGGCAGGAGCGGGGCUGCUCGCAGAGGGGGAGGGGGUGGCCCUGGGCGGUGCAGCUCAGGGUGCUCCCCGCCACCCCCCAAAGCCAGGCAGCCCAUAAGCUCGCCCUGCCUCUGAGCUUUUUUCAGCUCUUUCUCGGCCUCUUUUAGCAGCCCCUUGAGCGCCUUCCGGGCCAGGUAGAGCCCGUUGGGGGGUGCCGGGGGAGGACCCUGCGGGGAUAGCUGCAGGACGUAGAUGUCAGAAGUUUCGCCAUCGAUGAGGAUGGACACGCGGUGCUCCUCCCGAAGCCGGGCCAGCCGGGCUGGGGUCUCCUUGCUCAGGAAGUCCCACACAGGCUUGGAGACAGUCACUUUAUUCUUGCAGGUGCCUCCACAGGCUGCCAUUCUGGACAGGACGAACGACACUGCCCCCAGGGUGAAAGGGACUCAGGGUGGGGGGUCCCCAUUUGACAAAAUCCGUGCCUACUACCUCAGGUUGCUUUCAGGCCCUUUAUCACCUCUACUGUCCCACAGUCCAACCCCUGACUCCUAGCCACCCCAGCUGAUUUUCUGUCUCAGAGCUCUUAUCUUUCAAAUCCUAGCACCCACUAAAGAGCAAGAAAGUUUCUAUGACUUUAUUAUUAUCAUCGUCUGGGCCAAGCAGCAGUCUUGGUUCUGUUUCCACUCCUCCCAAGAUCACAGAAACAAUCUGGCCCUCCUCCCUCUGGGGGGGGGGGGACCAGCUUCUUUAAAGGGGAGGGAGACUUUUUUGCUCACUUUGAUCCUGAACAGCUUAGAAUUGGCAUGCAGGCUCGCUCCACUGUCCCUGCUUCCUACUUGUCAGCUGUGGGACCUGGUGGGUGGAAGGGAAAAGAAGGGAAGCUCUGAGGCUCUCAAGAAGGCCUAGGGCGCAGAUGAGAGAAGUCAGGAAGGGAAAAGCCCCCCCCCCCCCCACGGAGGUCUUUCUUGCCACCUGCCUCGGAUCACACGGGAGUGACUGUGUCAUCAGGCCCAGAACUCCGGGGGGGAAGAGGGAGCACCCCAUCAGCCCUUCUCCCUGGCCCCCCCAUACGUGGACUCUGACAGAGCUGGAGAUGACAGCGAUGGGAGUAAAUACACAAGAUCUUUAUUAAUUAAUAAAACAAAAAAGAUGAAAAACAGAAGCAACAAAACGAAGACCAUUCUGCUCAUGAUACAUCAGCCACAUGGUCAGAAAACCAAUUUCUAAAGAGCAACAGCUGCUGGUGUCAUGGAGUUUUAUUGCAUUCAAAAGGGGAAGGUAGAUGGUUGGAAUGAAAAAGAUCAGCAGGCCCCUGAUGGGAAGAUAUUAUAGGGGCUCUAAUUCUUAACUGUGGACUCGUCUUGUUACUUCCUUUGGAGAAGAUGAAGGGGAGAGAGAAAUUCUCCUUUA